AUACGGAGGGGGCUAGCGUUGUUCGGAAUUACUGGGCGUAAAGCGCGUGUAGGCGGAUCGUUAAGUCAGGGGUGAAAGCCCGGAGCUCAACUCCGGAAUUGCCCUUGAUACUGGCGGUCUAGAGGCCGGGAGAGGUGAGCGGAAUUCCCAGUGUAGAGGUGAAAUUCGUAGAUAUUGGGAGGAACACCAGUGGCGAGGGCGGCUCACUGGCCCGGUUCUGACGCUGAGACGCGAAAGCGUGGGGAGCAAACAGGAUUAGAUACCCUAGUAGUCC
rnacentral:rRNA from 1 species